CCUACGUGAGGCAGCAGUGAGGAAUAUUGGUCAAUGGGCGCGAGCCUGAACCAGCCAAGUCGCGUGAGGGAAGACGGUCCUAUGGAUUGUAAACCUCUUUUGUCGGGGAGCAAAAGACGCCACGCGUGGCGUUCCGAGAGUACCCGAAGAAAAAGCAUCGGCUACCUCCGUGCCAGCAGCCGCGGUAAUACGGAGGAUGCGAGCGUUAUCCGGAUUUAUUGGGUUUAAAGGGUGCGCAGGCGGAAGAUCAAGUCAGCGGUAAAAUUGAGAGGCUCAACCUCUUCGAGCCGUUGAAACUGGUUUUCUUGAGUGAGUGAGAAGUAUGCGGAAUGCGUGGUGUAGCGGUGAAAUGCAUAGAUAUCACGCAGAACUCCGAUUGCGAAGGCAGCAUACCGGCGCUCAACUGACGCUCAUGCACGAAAGUGUGGGUAUCGAACAGGAUUAGAUACCCUGGUAGUC
rnacentral:rRNA from 1 species